AUUGAACGCUGGCGGCAUGCCUUACACAUGCAAGUCGAACGGCAGCAUAGGAGCUUGCUCCUGAUGGCGAGUGGCGAACGGGUGAGUAAUAUAUCGGAACGUGCCCUAGAGUGGGGGAUAACUAGUCGAAAGACUAGCUAAUACCGCACACGAUCUACGGAUGAAAGUGGGGGAUCGCAAGACCUCAUGCUCCUGGAGCGGCCGAUAUCUGAUUAGCUAGUUGGUGGGGUAAAAGCCUACCAAGGCAACGAUCAGUAGCUGGUCUGAGAGGACGACCAGCCACACUGGGACUGAGACACGGCCCAGACUCCUACGGGAGGCAGCAGUGGGGAAUUUUGGACAAUGGGGGUAACCCUGAUCCAGCAAUGCCGCGUGAGUGAAGAAGGCCUUCGGGUUGUAAAGCUCUUUUGUCAGGGAAGAAACGGUAGUAGCGAAUAACUACUACUAAUGACGGUACCUGAAGAAUAAGCACCGGCUAACUACGUGCCAGCCGCCGCUGUAA
rnacentral:rRNA from 1 species